rnacentral:lncRNA from 1 species
AUAACACGUGCUCUCUGUUUAUUAUCAGGGAGGGAGGGAGUUGGAGGGAGGAUGAGAGGGUAGCAGAGAACCCAUAGAGUAGACAGCCUUUCUCUGUAGCACACACAGACACACAGACCAGAACAGACUGGGGGGAAGAGAGAGGGAAACAGACGCACUGCAAAAUCCAGACGCAUCAACAGCCACCCUAGCAGCUCAAACCACCACAGCAGAUGGGGCCCGGAUUGUUUUGGAACUUCUCUUCAAAGGCUAACUGCUCGGUGCCGCAGAGCCUGCUGCAGACCAUGUUGCUCUCCAGGAUGGCUGGGAUGAAGGAGCAGCAAUUUACUGAGGAGAAACCCCUACUGCAAGAACAAAGAGGACAAGACACUGAGAUGGUGAGCAUUUUCUUUAUAUGUGUGUGUGUGCGUGCGUGCGUGCGUGUGUGCGUGUGUGUGUGCGUGUGUGUGCGUGUCUGUUUGUUAGUUUUUGUUGUUGUUUUGUUGUUGAAUUUUACCCCUUUUUCUCUCCAAUUUCAUGGUAUCCAAUUGUUUUAGUAGCUACUAUCUUGUCUCAUCGCUACAACUCCCGUACGGGCUUGGGAGAAACGAAGGUUGAAAGUCAUGCGUCCUCCGAUACACAACCCAACCAAGGACCUCCCGGUUGCGGCCGGUUACGAUAGAGCCUGGGCGC